CUUCUGACAGCUUUCAAAGGGCUGAGAAACAAGACCUUUGGGCUGCAAUCCAUCUCCUCUCCUUCUCUUCUCUGACUAAAUCCCAUAUAUUGGCACAGACUGACAGGGAAGUGAUGGAGUCACCAUCACUGGAGUUGUUCAAGAACCGCAGAGAUGUGGCACUGAGAGAUGUGGUUUGUGGGCAUGGUGGGAUGGGUUGGGGUUGGGCUUGGUGACUUUUUCCAACCUAAAUGAUUCUGUGUUAUAGGAUUACAGGCUCCUCUUCUUCCUCCUCCUCCCACCCCCCUCCCCGUUAAAUGUUGUUUAUCUGAAGGCUUUAGAAGGAAUCCAGAGGAAUUUCAGUUUCAGAGGUCAGCGCAAUAAAUUAAGUAAAGAAAGCGAGUGGCUUUGGUAGGUUGACAGCACGAGUAUACGGACAUGACAUAACAUUGUGGAACCAGCUCCUCAGAGACUGUAAAUUAUCGUGGCUCCUUCAGAAUCAAUAUGGCCAAGCCGAUAGAUAUAAGAGCUGGGGAACUCAUACAGAAAAAUGUUAGAGCCACUAGAGUCCAAUGUUCGUGGUAAUUGUGGUGAUGGUUCAAUUGAAUUGCAGACUUUAUGUAUUACUAUCAAGACAACAAUCCUGACUCUUCAAUAAACUUGGAAGGAGAAACUCCUGAAAUACUAUGAACAGAGAAAACAUUUUUUGUUUGAGUUUUCUUUGAAAUCUGAAUGCUUUGAGUCCAAUAUUAAAUGCUUCACUCGAAGUUUUUUGUCUCAUUCUGCUUCUCUAGGAAGAGCAGCCAAUGAAAAGUCAAUGGGAACGAAACCAGCAGGAUCUGGUUGUACCAUGUCCUUAAGAAACAGCAACAAGAGAUGGCAGCUCAGAAGGCAGGCUGGCUGGAAGCAUGCUGUGGGGAUUGAGGGGCUGAAGAAGUGGAAUGUAAACUCCAGAAUAUUGUCUGAGCUGAUUCAAUGUGCCAUCAGGUGUGAGGAUUGGAUAGAGAUUUGUGGAGCUUGAUGCUGAGCCCAGACAGAGCUUGAGUUCACUUAAAAGUAUGUCCGGCUAGACACAGCCAUUGUGUCGAAUCCUGGAACAUGAAUAUCCUGUGCACUUUCAAUAAGAGUCAUAAAAGUAUUUGGUUUUACA
rnacentral:lncRNA from 1 species